CUGAGAUAGGGUUCUUCUGAGCCCGACCUCCAACCCUUUGUUUAAACUACCUUGUUGCUUUGGCAGGCCCGCCUCCGGGCCGCCGGGGAUGUUUAGUCAUCUCUGGCCCGUGUCUGCCAGUAGCCAAUUUAAACUCUUUUAAUCAUGUCGUCUGAAUAUUUAAAUAAAUUUAAUUA
rnacentral:misc_RNA from 1 species